rnacentral:rRNA from 1 species
AUUGAACGCUGGCGGCAGGCCUAACACAUGCAAGUCGAGCGAGCGGCGGACGGGUGAGUAAUGUAUGGGGACUGCCCGAUAGAGGGGGAUAACUACUGGAAACGGUAGCUAAUACCGCAUACUAUCGGAUAACCCAUAUGGGAUUGGCUAGUAGGUGGGGUAAUGGCUCACCUAGUCGACGAUCCCUCGCUGGGCUGAGCGGAUGAUCAGCUACACUGGGACUGGGACACGGACCAGAUGCCUACGGAGGCAGCAGUGGGGAAUAGUGCACAAUGGGCGCAAGCCUGAUGCAGCCAUGCCGCGUGUAUGAAGAAGGCCCUAGGGGUGUAAAGUACUUUCAGUCGGGAGGCGUUACCGACAGAAGAAGCACCGGCUAACUCCGUGCCAGCAGCCGCGGUAAUAC